rnacentral:rRNA from 1 species
GACGAACGCUGGCGGCGUGCUUAACACAUGCAAGUCGAACGGUGAAGCGCCUUCCUUUUUGGUGGGUGUGGAUGAGUGGCGAACGGGUGAGUAACACGUGAGUAACCUGCCCCCUUCUUCUGGAUAACCGCAUGAAAGUGUGGCUAAUACGGGAUAUUCUGGGUCUGUCGCAUGAUGGGUCUGGGAAAGAUAUUGUUUCGGUGGGGGAUGGGCUCGCGGCCUAUCAGCUUGUUGGUGGGGUGAUGGCCUACCAAGGCGGUGACGGGUAGCCGGCCUGAGAGGGUGGACGGCCACACUGGGACUGAGACACGGCGCAGACUCCUACGGGAGGCAGCAGUGGGGAAUAUUGCACAAUGGGCGCAAGCCUGAUGCAGCGACGCCGCGUGAGGGAUGGAGGCCUUCGGGUUGUGAACCUCUUUCGCCAGUGAAGCAGGCCUGCCUCGUUUGUGGGUGGGUUGACGGUAGCUGGAUAAGAAGCGCCGGCUAACUACGUG